rnacentral:rRNA from 1 species
UACGUAGGGUGCGAGCGUUGUCCGGAAUUAUUGGGCGUAAAGGGCUCGUAGGCGGUUUGUCGCGUCGGGAGUGAAAACCAGGUGCUUAACACCUGGCUUGCUUUCGAUACGGGCAGACUAGAGGUAUGCAGGGGAGAACGGAAUUCCUGGUGUAGCGGUGAAAUGCGCAGAUAUCAGGAGGAACACCGGUGGCGAAGGCGGCUCGCUGGGACGGUAUUGACGCUAAGGCGCGAAAGCGUGGGGAGCAAACAGG